rnacentral:misc_RNA from 1 species
GAUGAAGAACGUAGCGAAAUGCGAUAAGUAAUGUGAAUUGCAGAAUUCAGUGAAUCAUCGAAUGUUUGAACGCACAUUGCGCCCUCUGGUAUUCCGGGGGGCAUGCCUGUUCGAGCGUCAUUAUAACCACUCAAGCUCUCGCUUGGUAUUGGGGUUCGCGGUUUCGCGGCCCCUAAAAUCAGUGGCGGUGCCUGUCGGCUCUACGCGUAGUAAUACUUCUCGCGAUUGAGUUCGAUAGGUCUACUUGCCAGUAACCCCCAAUUUUUACAGGUUGACCUCGGAUCAGGUAGGGAUACCCGCUGAACUUAAGCAUAUCAAUAAGCGGAGGA